UACGGGGGGUGCAAGCGUUGUUCGGAAUCAUUGGGCGUAAAGAGCGUGUAGGCGGCGUGGUAAGUCAGAUGUGAAAGCCCUGGGCUUAACCCAGGAAGUGCAUUUGAAACUGCCAUGCUAGAGUACGGGAGAGGGAAGUGGAAUUCCUGGUGUAGAGGUGAAAUUCGUAGAUAUCAGGAGGAACACCGGUGGCGAAGGCGACUUCCUGGCCCGAUACUGACGCUGAGACGCGAGAGCGUGGGGAGCAAACAGG
rnacentral:rRNA from 1 species